rnacentral:lncRNA from 1 species
AGGAGCAGGAGCAGUGGCGCAGGAGCCGGCAGCGUAGACGGAGGGAGAGGAGUAGCGCGAGGGGCGCGGACGGAGGGGUCGCCGGGGACGCUUGGCGCGCCACCACACAACGGUCCCGGGCCGCCGCGGGGAGGCAGAGAGGCGACACGGGAGGUUUGUGCUGGCUGCCCUGCUUCUCCUUGUUACUGGUGGAUCUUCUGAUGUGCAGAUGGCUAGUUUGCGCCCAUCAGUGCUAAAACUUUGAACAAAUCUUGUUCUUCGUCGGAAAUCCAACUGAAUUCCCAUCUCGUUCUGAAUUGAGUUCUGAUUGCCGGGUUACAGAGGUGAGAGGAUAGCCGAACAGCGGGCUCGCAGUCGCAGGGUCACUAUGCGAGAGCACAUAUCCUCGCAUGGCAGGUUACAUGUAGCCCUAUAAAAUCAAAUUCAGCCCCAUGUUACCUGAUUUCCUGUGAAUGGAUUUUACUGCUUUUCAGUUUUGGACACUAUGUAACUUGUUGUAUUUCUGGAGCAGUGCUGCGAGGAGGAGGCUAUGAAGUACGUCCAAUACUUAACCUACAGCCAUCUAAUAUGCAAAUUUAAUAAUAGAAGAAGAUGACCUCAUUUAUAUACUGGAAAAUGAAAAACAAAAAAAGUAUAAGAAGACCCAAUUCCUCUUUUAUGUGCACCUUGUGUGCGUAGACACUGGACUACAAUUGUAGCAACAAAGAGUAUAU